UAAGUCGACCGCCUGGGGAGUACGGCCGCAAGGUUAAAACUCAAAUGAAUUGACGGGGGCCCGCACAAGCGGUGGAGCAUGUGGUUUAAUUCGAUGCAACGCGAAGAACCUUACCUGGUCUUGACAUCCACGGAAGUUUUCAGAGAUGAGAAUGUGCCUUCGGGAACCGUGAGACAGGUGCUGCAUGGCUGUCGUCAGCUCGUGUUGUGAAAUGUUGGGUUAAGUCCCGCAACGAGCGCAACCCUUAUCCUUUGUUGCCAGCGGUCCGGCCGGGAACUCAAAGGAGACUGCCAGUGAUAAACUGGAGGAAGGUGGGGAUGACGUCAAGUCAUCAUGGCCCUUACGACCAGGGCUACACACGUGCUACAAUGGCGCAUACAAAGAGAAGCGACCUCGCGAGAGCAAGCGGACCUCAUAAAGUGCGUCGUAGUCCGGAUUGGAGUCUGCAACUCGACUCCAUGAAGUCGGAAUCGCUAGUAAUCGUGGAUCAGAAUGCCACGGUGAAUACGUUCCCGGGCCUUGUACACACCGCCCGUCACACCAUGGGAGUGGGUUGCAAAAGAAGUAGGUAGCUUAACCUUCGGGAGGGCGCUUACCACUUUGUGAUUCAUGACUGGGGUGAAGUCGUAACAAGGUAACCGUAGGGGAACCUGCGGUUGGAUCACCUCCUUA
rnacentral:rRNA from 2 species